CCAAGUAGGCCAGUGGGGUAAGAAAAACGUUACGUACCUAGUAAAUAUAGGUAAGUGAACAUUUGUCAUUUUUUUCUUACGGCAAUUCUUAUUAUUCUUAUUCUUAUUAUUUUUUUUGCAUUUAUUGUAACCCAUUUCGUCAUCGUGUUCAUAUUUUCACCUUCGAUAUCCUUUUUCUUUCUCUCUCUAUAGUCUCAUCCUUCUGCUUUUUUGGUGUAUAGACUUUCUUCUCUAAUAAAGGCAGAUAUGAAACAUCAUCUUCCUUUGUCCAGUUGAAAGAACCAAGGAAAUAUAGGUCGGAGAAAGGCCAACGCCAAGACGCUUUAACAACGGUAAAGCGUGCUGAUGGAAACACGUGUAGCGGUUCAGCCUAUUAGCGCUUUUACUCAGACAUUUCCGUCGCAGCAAAAACUUAAACAUAUACACACACUUUCUCCCUCACGGUUCUUGGUUCAGUCAACAAAUGGACAUGUGCGCACUAGCAUCGUGAAUGGAAGCGGGUCAAUUGCAACAGUCCAAUGAAGAUUGGAGCAAUUUUUUCCAGAAAUACAGUCACCAAUUUCAUCAAAGAAGUGAACAUGCUUAGUGAGACAGAUAGGUCGUCAUCGAUGAUGAAGCAUCUGGACAAAAGUAGAAGCGUGUGAUGGGAUAAUUGCCAUCCCAGAACGUGGUUUGAGAAAAAAAAUCGAUUUAGUACUUAUAGCGUUCUACUUCACGCUGUUGGGGCAUUCACACAUGAUGUUAAAAUGUAGUCCAAAAAGGCAGACGGUCGAGAUCGUAUAGACGGUUGACCUAUAAUAAUAAUUUAUACGAUUCAGUCUUACGUAACUACCGGUACCGUAUUGAUCUGUGUAAAGUUAUGGUAAAUAGUCGACCGAAAUGUUCGUACAACACACUUUUAUUCUGAAUGAAAUGGAAUAUAAUGGAAUGUAAGAAAUAUAUUUAUUUUAUGUUAAUUAAAACCUCUUCUCAAAAUUUUUGUUUACUUUCACCGCAAUAAAUUUUAAAGAGCUUAUUUAAUCAUUUAAAGUUUAUUUGUGUGUUAUGACUGAAUUUUUUGGUAGUUAACACAAAUAAAAAAAAGAAAAGAAAAUGAGCUGAACAAAAGGCACAUCAGCGGCG